GACAUCUUAAUAAUAAUCUUCCAAUUCAUGAACAUGGGGUGUCUUUCCAUUUGUGCCUAUUUAGCUUCUUUCAGCAAUGUUUUGUAGUUUUCAUAAAAUUUGGUGUACAAGUCCUUUGCCUCCUUGGCUCAGUUUAUUCCAAGAAUUUUAUUUAUUUUUUGAUGCUUUUGUAAAUGGAAUUGUUUUCUUAAUUUCUUUUUUGGAUUGUUUAUUGUUAAUGUAUAGAAAAGCAACUGAUUUUUGUGUGUUGAUUUUGUAUCCUGCUACUUUGCUGAAAUCAUCUAUUAGUUCUAGCAGUGGUUUUCUCUUUGUGUGUGUGUGUGUGUAUGUGUAAUCUUCAGGGUUUUCUACUUAUAAGUUCAUAUCAUCUGCAAACAGAGGUAAUUUUACUUCUUCCCUUCCAAUUUGGAUGUCUUUUAUUUGUCUUCCUUGCCUAAUUGCUCUGGCUAGAACUUCCAGCACUUUGUUGAAUAGAUGUGGUGAAAGCAGACGUCAUUGCCUUGUUCCUGAUUUUAGAGGAAAAGUUUUCACUCUUUCACCAUUGAGUAUGAUGUUAGUUAUGGAUUUUUCAUAUAUGACUUUUAUUACAAUGAGGUAGUUUCCUUCUAUUUGUAGUUUGUUGUGUGUCUUUAUCAUGAAAGGGUGUUGAGUUUUGUCAAGUGCUUUUUCUGCAUCAAUUGAGAUAAUUGUGUGUUUUUCCCCCCUUCAUUCUGUUGAUGUGGUGUAUUACAUUGAUCAAUUUUUGUAUGUUGAGCCAUUCUUGAAUUCCAGGAAUAAAUGCCACUUGUUGAUUUGUCUGUAAUCCUAUUACUAUGCUGCUGAAUUUGGUCUGCUAGUAUUUUGUUGGGGAUUUUUCCUCUUUUUGCUUGAGGAAGAUUGUUGCGGUGCUAACAUCUGUGCUAGUCGUCCUCUAUUUUGUAUGUGGGAUGCCACCACAGCAUGGCUUAAUGAGUGGUGUGUCCAUGGUUGGGAUCUGAACCUGUGUACCCCAAGCUGCUGAAGUGGAAAGCACAAACUUAACCACUAUGCCACUGGGCCAGCCCCGCUUAUAAUCCUUUUUAUUUCUGUAGAUUUGUUAGUAAGGUCCCCACUUUCAUUUCUGAUUUUAGUGAUAUGAUUUUUCUCUCUCUUGUUUUAGUCCAUCUAGUUUAAAGGUUUGUCAAUUUUGUUGAUCUUUUCAAAGAACCAACUUUUGGUUUCAUUGAUUUUCUCUAUUUUUGUACUCUCUAUUUCAUUUAUCUCUCUGCUCUAAUCUUCAUAAUUUCCUUCCUUCUGCUAGCUCUGGGUUUAGUUUGUUUUUCUUUUUCUAGUUCCUUAAGUUGUAAAGUUAGGUUUUUGAUGUGAGAUCAUUCUUGUUUUUUUAAUUUUAUUUUUAUUCUUUUUUAGGUAUGCUUUUUGGUGAGGAAGAUUGGCCCUGAGCUAACAUCUGUUGCCAUCUUCCUCUUCUUUUUUUUUCUCCCUGAAGCCCCAGUACAUAGUUGUGUCAUUCUCAUUCUUCUAUGUGGGAUGCCGCCACAGCAUGGCUUGACAAGCGGUAUGUAGGUCUGCACCCAGGAUCUGAACCAGUGAACCUCAGGCUGCUGAAGUGGAGCACACAAACUCAACCAUUUGGCCAUGGGGCCAGCCCCAGAUCAUUCUUGUUUCUUUCUUUCUUUUUUUUUUUUUAAAGAUUGGCACCAGGGCUAACAACUGUUGCCAAGCUUUUUUUUUUCUUUUCUGCUUUAUCUCCCCAAAUCCCCCCUGUACACAGUUGUAUAUCUUAGUUGCAGGUCCUUCUAGCUGUGGGAUGUGGGAUGCCGCCUCAACGUGGCCUGACGAGCGAUGCCAUGUCCGUGCCCAGGAUCCAAACCCUGGGCCGCCGCAGCAGAGCACGCGAACUUAACCACUCGGCCAUGGAGCCGGCCCCUCUUGUUUCUUAAUGUAAGCAUUUAUAGCUAUAAAUUUCACCCUUAAUACUGCUUUUGCUAUGUCCCAUACAUUUUGAUAUGUUGUGUUUUUGUAUUCAUUCGUCUUUAAGUAUUUUCUAGUUUUCCUUGUGAUUUCUUCUUUGAUCCAUUGGUUAAGAGAGUAUUGUUUAAUUUCCACAAAUUUGUGAAUUUUCAAGUUUUUCUUCUGUCGUUGAUUUUUAACUUCAUUUCUUUGUGGUCAGAGACAAUAUUUUAUAUGACAUCUGUCUUUUAAAUUUUAUUGAGACCUAAUUUGUAGCCUAACGUAUGGGCAACUUGGAGAAUGUCCCGUGUGCACUGGGGAAGAAUGUGUAUGCUGUUGUUGUCGGUAGUGUUUUGUUUGUAUCUAUGAGAUCUAGUUAGUUUAUUGUGUUAAGUCUUCUCUUUCCUUUAUCUUUUUUCCGGUUGUUCUAUCCAUUAUUGAGUGGAGUAUUGCAGUCUCCAACUAUUAUUGUACUGCUGUCAUCAAUUCUGUCCAUUUUUGCUUCCAUAUAUUUUGCUAGUCUCUCCUUAGGUGUGUAAAUGUUUAUAAUUGUUAUAUAUUUUUGCUGUAUUGAACCUUUUAUUAAUAUAUUAAUAUCCUUGUUUCUUGUAACUUUGAUUUAAAUUCUAUUUUGUCUGAUAUUCAUAGAGCCGCUCCUGCUCUCUUUAGGUUAC
ensembl:lncRNA